UUUAAAUCAGCACUUGGCUGCAAUUCUCUUGAAAACAGUUCCUGCAGUCCAAUAAAUAAAUUCAAAUUAAACUUUGUGAAGCUAUCGUUGUAGUGCAGCCUCCGACCACUAGUGGCAGCAAUGCAAUCAGCACAGGUGUGCUUUGAAAAUGGCGCACUGCGCCAUCUUGGAUUUAAUCUAAAUGAAUAAAAUGCGCCCGAAUCCUGCUUUAAUCUGACCUCAGACAAACAUUUUUAUUUUCCAUACCCUGGCGUAUCGUCGAGAACAAAGGCUUUCCUCAAAUGGAGCUGAUGCUACGAGUACCUCCCGACUCUAGCUCGGACAAAAGAGGAGCCAGCCACCCUCCGUGACUUCAUCCAGCCUAUCAAUCCAGUCCCCUGAGGCGUCUGUCUGGGAUCUGCCAGGCUCAUCAGUGUGGAGAGGAGAAGGCUAACUGGGAGCCCUUACUGGCUGUAAAUCUGACCAGAGGGAGGGGAACCUGCAGUGGCCACACUUCCCCUGCAACCCAAAUACCUUUAAAAGUACUUGUUCUGGCCCAUGGCUCUGGAACCGCCAAUGGUUUCAUGCACUGAUCGUGAGGUGUGUGUUAUUGACCACGAAGGACAGGUAGGACUUUUGACGUCUCACACCAACACCAGUAAUCCGCAGAAAGCAGCCAUACUGUCUCCACAGCAAGAGGAAAUAAUAACACGACGUCGCCCACUGUAUAACGAUUAAAGGUAUGGCCGUUUUUCUUCCUACUUUGGCCGUAGGCCUACAUGGACUAUUGUUUUAUGACUUUUUAGUCUACAGGAAAAGCCGUGCAUUGACUAGACAAAGCUAACUUGCAGAAAUGCGAUGGAUAAUAUGCAGUGACAGGCGGAUUUAUACUUUAAAAAAAAAAAAAAAAUAUAUAUAUAUAUAUAUAUUUCAAAAGGGCGUACAGCGGAAAUAAAGUUAAAAUUAAACAAAUAUGUGUUGUACACGUAUUUUAAGCUCUUAACUUUUACUCUCGCUUCUGAUAUUUUAAAACGUUUUGCCAGAAAUUUCAACAAAACUUGUUUGAUACUGCAUUUAAUUAUUUGCUACAUAAUGUAACUAAUCUAAACCAACAAAAUGUGCAGAUGAAUAUCCACAUUACCUUUUAAACAAACGUAGUAGUAGUUGUUUUGCCUUACAAAAAAAUACUUGGACACAUGAUGUUUCAUUUUUAUUUACAAUAAAUACAAAAUAUUUACGCAGUGGAUAAAUACAGAUAUGUCCAUAUAUGCAAAUUACAAAUGGUCCUAAACACACCAGUGGAAUAAAUUUUGCUCUGCAACGCACACUUUUUUUUGUUAAAUUAAUGUUGUGCUCGCUGAAGCUGUAGUUUAGUAAUCACGGACACCUACGCCAGGGUUAACAUUUGCUGUGACAAACUAAGGAUGACACGACACAUCUAUCACUAAAUCAGACCGCAGCAUUUCAAAGAAAAAGCAAAACUAAGACCUUUUAGAUACUCAACACACUGAUCAGCUGCUGAGUUUACUUUGUUAAAUGUAAAAAGUAGCCGUGCUCGUGGUUGUGUGUCGGGGCGUCAGAGCUGCAGGCCGCUGUCAGCCAGACAAGAGAAAGGGGUCUGAUAACCUCUGGUGGUGACCAGUGGAAAAUAUCAGGAAGUGUUGCAACUGUCUCUAAUUUAUGGCUAUUUUAGUUCAGAUAACUUCUUUUUAUCCCCCUGUCCUGAUUUUAACUUUGUAUUGUCUCAUUUUAACGUCUGUUUUUAUUAUUUAUGGAAUAUCGAGUUUACAGGGGUUUGUUUUUAUCGUUUAAUGUGUUUUUAUUUUGGUUAGCUGUUAAACUUGAAGGCCAGCCAAUACAGACGUUUGCACUAAAACCAUACCUGAGCUAAACCGGAAAUGUUUGUUUGGGAUAUCACUGUGUACUUAAACACAUUGAUAUUAAUAUUAAUGCAGUCCGUGCAUAAUUUUGUGAUUUAAUUCUGUGUAGCCUAUAUAUCCGACCAUCAUGGUCGCUCCGAUUUAGAUUAUUUUCAUGUAUUUAGUUAUUUGAAUAUGUGCAUAUGCAACACAUGUAAUAGCUCUAAUAUUUGAUUUAAAAAAAAAAAACUGUCCAAGUCCAAGCUAUUUUUAUUUUUUAUUUUUGAAUUCAAUUUCAACUGUCAACGUGAGCCAAGAUUGGUUUGAAAAAUCGCCAUUUAUUCAUCACAAACAGUCUUCUUGGGGUGAGUAUUUUACAAUGAAUUUCUUGAUAAUUCCGUAGCAUAUAUUACGCACAGCCACAUACGAGCACAUACGCACUGAGGCUUCUCAGUCAGAAUUUAAAAAUAACUAAAUCAUCCUGAUAAAUUAUUACAAUUUUAAAAUACCUUAUUUGCACAAAUAGGUCAUAGGAGCUUAUUACACUACAACUGUACCGGUCAAGUUCAAAUGUGUGUGUGUGUGUGUGUGUGUGUGUGUGUGUGUGUAUACAUAUAUUAUGGCGACUUUGAAAUUUUAACUAAUAGCAUUAUCCUCUGUGUGAUUCUUAAUGCUACAUGUUUUAUUGUAAAAGCUUAUUCGGAAUUGAUAUUCGUUGUGUAGCAAAGGCGCAUUAAAUAUUGUGUGUUGUUGUAAACAAAUGAAAAAGAUCGCCCAAACCUUUCAACUAAAACGUUUCUGUGGGUUGUUUAGGCUUCCCUAGGUGGUUGGUUUCCCUUGAAGGAAGCUUUAAAGGGGUUGCACAGGGCUAUAACUGUGGCAACCUGCCUGUAGAGAAUCAAAGAGAGAAAAAGAGAAGAAAAGCCCUUUGUUUAGGCUAUUGCCCUGUCUGGACAGGACCAGUGAAUUCCAGGGGGCUAAUUUCAAUAUAGAGCAGACAGUGUACUAGACAGUGACCUUGACAGUGCUAU